UUUUAUGCCAAACGAUAUUAUGCCUAGUGACCAUUAUGCCAAACGGGGUAGACACCUGAUCUUUAUUUUCACAUACACAUUCAUCACAAUACUCAAGGUGCUCGUACACUCUUUGCUCAGACGUCAACUAUUUGACCACUUUUGACAAAUAAAUUUUGACAAGUUGUUUGGCCCUAUUUUUCCCUAUUCAUUUUUCGAAAGUGACAAAUAUUUUUGUUUGCCCAGUACACCUUGAUCAAAAUUUAACUGCCAGAAGUGGUCAAAUAUUUGGCAUUGGUCAAAUAGUAAAAUAUUAGCUUAAUACGCAAAUCGGCGACAUUAGCAUGUUUUCUCUUGUUUUCCUUAACCUUCCUAGCGCAUUGAAUGUCGCAGCCUGUGUUCAGUUGGCAACACAAAAUUACCCCAAUGAAUGCUAAAAAUUGCUGCAAACGAGAAUCUUAUUCGCUGACUUGGAAUGAUGGCACUCUGUCAAAAUACUGUCGAACCAAUGCUAAACACAUUGGAAACUUUAAUAGCAUUAUACAUUCAUAGUUUUCAAAUUGUUUCACUAUUAGUUUUAAACUGUUGAACGAAAAUUGUUUGGGGAGAAGUCAAUUGUCAAUUUAUGUAAAAGGCAAGAAAUUGUAAGACAGUCGGUUACAACAAAUUUACUACUGAAUUCAAGUAUGUGACGUGAAUCAUUUUAUUACAGAGAAAUUGAUAGCACUGAUCGACAGAGUCGAAAAAAUGAGUUAAGAAAACGUUUGAAGUAGACGAAUUUGAUGGACCUAGUCGAUAUGUUGGCGAAGUUUUAGAAAUCAUUCAACAAUUUAUUUUCAAGAAUGUCCAUUGUAGAAGCAAUCGCACCUUUAAGUUUCAGACAAGUUGCAACAAAUGGAUAUGUUCCUAAUGUCUACCUCACUGAUUUGUUUAUCUCGUUCCACCGCCGAUCAGUGCCAUUGUUAUCACAGCGACACCAAUCCACUGUUUGCCAAUGUACCUGCUACUCGUUUUUUUUACACAAAUACGUUCCACAAUCGAGUUCACUCGUUAGACGGGAAUUUGUCUAAAUUGUAACAAUGACCAGCCAAAGUUAUAAAUCGAUAAUUGUCCAUAAUUUAUAGGUAAAUAAUGCAUUCACGGUGAUUUGCGAAUUGAAGUUAUUUUUUUUUUAAUUUGCUUUGGAUCGUUCAGAAACUAUAAAUGGAAGAUGGCAGUAUUGCUCUCGUAAUUGUUUCUUGUUCUUUCUUAUCAUACCCUCGAUAACAUUUACGGACUGCGAUCGGAUAAUCAGUUGAACAUUAGGUUUAAGUGGAAUUACCCUCAGUGUACCAGUAGUCGCUCACGAGCUUUGAAAUGAAGUUUAUUGGCAAAACUACAAUCUUUAUUGCACAUGCAAGCCGAAUAAUACCCAGGUGAAGAGGAUUGGACGUAUUUAUGCCAAAAAAACAUAAUUAUGACGGUAAGCAUCUACUGGCUUGGCACAUUGACGGUACUUUCGAGAACACUAGUUCUGAACCGAAUUUAUCCGAAAACUCGCUUAUCAUCAACUCUUAGAGUCCCAAAUUGAGAACAAGCAAUCCUUAUGCAAAUAGUGGAAUGGGUUCGAAGAUAAGACUCAAUGUCUACAAAAUUCUCUAUGACUGGUAGCUUUAAAAACAUGCAUAGAAUGCAAACAUCUUAUUAUAGAAAGGAGAGUAUGAUUUGUUGGGGUAUGGUAGACACAGGCUUUAAAGGAUGCUGUAAAUGUAAUUAAAAAAGAACGAUCCUGUAAAUAUGAUGAUAACUCCGACGGUUAAGUUCAACAUGAAAGACUUAUUUAUUCUAACUAAGUGAAAUAGGCAUGGAAUUAAAAAUCAGAUGUUCUAAUAACAAAUUAUACAUAUUUCGAGGUAUAAAUAUUCAUUUAAAAUAAAUUUUGUUUACUUUUUGAUUCAAAUUUCACUUUUAUCAUACAUUAAGAAGUAUGCGGUAAAUCCACAAACAACAUGAACAAUUCGACAAUAAUUUUUCAUAAGGGCCUAACUGAUUUGAUCGAUUUCUCUUCGUCGACUCUCUUUUUCGCAAAUAACUUGAUCAAAACAAACAAAAUCAUUAUUCUUUUUGUUUCUAUAGCAACAUGCAGUCGUCUUCUUCACAUUUCAACCAAAAAAUCUUUGGAAAACUCAAUACACAUUCUGUGAUAACACAAAGAGAGGAUCGAUGAAGAGAACUCGAAAAUGUCAGUUAGGCCCAAAUGAAAAAUCAGUGUCGAAUUGUGACUUAUAUUUUCUUAAAAUCUGCAUCUGAAAAAAAACUUGAUCAACUAUUAGUUAUUUUAUAGGAAUUCUUAGUUUUUUCAACAUAUUUAUACCUCGGAAUGUCGCCUUUUUUAAUUGUGGUGUAUGCAGCGUCAUAUCAGUUGAUGAAAAAUUGUCAUCAGUUGGUUUUGGACGUGAAAGGGACAGGAUGUAGAGAAUAAUUAGGCGAGGAAAUAAUUGAACUGGUAUACAGAAAUCAUUUCAAAUUCCAAAACAAAACCAUUAACCAAACAAGUAAAAAUAACAUGCUAACUAUCACUAUGUUAAUUUGUCCAAAAGUGAAUAUAUUAUUCAACUUAUAAGAAAACUAACAAA